CAGGGAAGUACCGCCCUCCGUCCCCUCGCCAGCCGACUCCGCCCCCUAAGAUCAUAGAGCGCCAGCCGCAAUACAUCCGGACAGUGGCGAGACCCAUCUCGUACGGCCAGUUACAACCUAUGCAAAGUAUGCGGUUGGUGCGUACGCAACCUCUACCCCCGGGCUACUUUCCUUGAUCCCGGGGAUACCUUCACUGAACAACUUCCUUUUGGACUACUUUUUCACUCCCGGUGGCGGGGGUUACAUGCGACCACAACCAAUACUGCCCGGCUACUUUCCUUAACCAUGUGUCACGUGAUCGGAUAACCUGAAUGCCACGUGAUGGGAAUACAAACGUGCGAUAUGAACUCACGUUUUAAAUAAGACCAGACGUUUAGGCGUAAUACAGACCGUUGUGUGGUGUGUUUGUUAUGUUUGAUAACAGUUUUGUAAAAUUGUACAUAAUUCUAUUAUAAAUAAUGAAAUGUUUCAAAAUUUAUGUUGUUUCAGUGAAUAUAUUCGUAAACAUGAA